AUUGAACGCUGGCGGCAUGCUUUACACAUGCAAGUCGAACGGUAACAGGUUAAGCCGACGAGUGGCGAACGGGUGAGUAAUGCAUCGGAACGUGCCCGGUCGUGGGGGAUAACGCAGCGAAAGCUGCGCUAAUACCGCAUACGAUCUGAGGAUGAAAGCGGGGGACCGUAAGGCCUCGCGCGAUCGGAGCGGCCGAUGUCAGAUUAGGUAGUUGGUGGGGUAAAGGCUCACCAAGACAACGAUCUGUAGCUGGUCUGAGAGGACGACCAGCCACACUGGGACUGAGACACGGCCCAGACUCCUACGGGAGGCAGAAGUGGGGAAUUUUGGACAAUGGGCGAAAGCCUGACCCAGCAAUGCCGCGUGCAGGAAGAAGGCCUUCGGGUUGUAAACUGCUUUUGUACGGAGCGAAAAGGUCUCCUCUAAUACAGGGGGCUCAUGACGGUACCGUAAGAAUAAGCACCGGCUAACUACGUGCCAGCCGCCGCGGUAA
rnacentral:rRNA from 1 species